GUGCUUGCUUCAGCAGGCAACACAUACACUAAAAUUGGAACAAUACAGAGAAGAUUGGCCUGGCCCUGGUGCAAGGACGACACACACAUUCAUGAAGCGUUCCAUUUUGGG
ensembl:snRNA U6 U6 spliceosomal RNA